rnacentral:rRNA from 1 species
UACGAAGGGGGCUAGCGUUGUUCGGAAUUACUGGGCGUAAAGGGCGCGCAGGCGGCCUGACAAGUCAGAUGUGAAAGCCCCGGGCUCAACCUGGGAAUAGCAUUUGGGACUGUUGGGCUAGAGAUCGGGAGAGGAGAGUGGAAUUCCCAGUGUAGAGGUGAAAUUCGUAGAUAUUCGCAAGAACACCAGUGGCGAAGGCGGCUCACUGGCCCGGUACUGACGCUGAGGUGCGAAAGCGUGGGGAGCAAACAGG